rnacentral:rRNA from 1 species
CCCUUAGAUGUUCUGGGCGGCCCGCGCACUACAAUGGCGUGUGCAGCGAGUGCCGAAGUAGAGUUUUCCGAGGUAUUCUUGCAAUGCUCGUUUUGAUGGGGAUAGACCCUUGCAACUGUUGGUUUUGAACGAGGAAUUCCUUGUAAGCAUGGUUUACCAUCCGACGCUGAAUGCGUCCCUGCCCUUUGUACACACCGCCCGUCGCUCCUACCGAUGAGUCGUCCGGUGAAGUUCGUAGACCUCGUGAUCGCGGAUCACUGGGGGAAGCAAAAUGAACCUCGCGGUUUAGAGGAAGGAGAAGUCGUAACA